GGGAGAUGUUGGCUCUGAUUGACCACGAGAGUUUCCUCACAAACGCCAACAGGAACAGUGGGAAGCCGUCUGCAGGUCACGGUAUGUUGGAGUAAAUGACAAGAUUCAAUCACACAAAUCGUUUUUUAUUCAUGGAAAACGGCUCAUGGGUGUAUAAUUAAAGCACCACAAGUCAAAACUUUCUCUAACGUUUAGCUGGAGGUUGAAAUGAAUCCGUGUUUACCUUUCAGCUCAAAAUAAAACCGUUUUCCAAACACGGGAGUUUGGAAGUUUGCUGUUCCUGUGAGAGCAGAAAACUAUCAAACUUUAUUUUCACAUUAAGUUUUUCUGGUAAGUUAAAGGUUUCUUGUUGCUAUCAUUUACACUCCUCUGUUUGUACCCCUUUUAGCUGUUUGCUGACACACAACUUUAACAUCUACUCUGACACUGUUGUGAGCCAUGGUUGCUGGCCCUGUGCUGUGUGUGUGCGUGUGCCAUGAAAGCUAAGCUAUCCUCUGCUUGCUAUUCACAGAUGUGGACCAUCAUCAAAGUGCACCUCUCCCCUUGAUGCAGCCAUCUACAGUAGACACCACCCUUCAGAAGUCAGGAGAUCUGUGUUUGCUCCAGGGAUUACAUUAGCACACCAGAGGCCCAGAGGAUAGACACACCGCACCACCACCCAAGGUACAGCCUCCCCCUGCUAAAGGGUGCUAUGUGCAGGUCAGUAUAGAUGCCUGGACUUCAUGGUGUGCCUCUCUUUUUUGGUAGUGUUCGUCCCUCUCUGGAGUGUGUUGACUCAGAUGGGACGAGCAAACAGAACCAGGGUGAAGCCAUGUGGGUGCUCCUUUCUCAUGGAGCCCUGGCCCAGUGGAUUAGGCAAAUGCCUGCACAUGAGGAGGGGGUGUUUCUGUGCGGCCUUCUCUGACAGGAGGUGAUGGAUUAGGGCUUUGUCAGGGUCCAUGUCAGCCUGAGGGACCGGGCGAUGAAGAGAAGGUGGGAGGCAGAGGGGAGAUCAGGGCCCAGGGGCAGCCCAAUCCCGGGAUCAGCUACAUGUUGACAAGGGAUUAUCCUGUUUGGUGUGUUGCUUCAGGAUCUGAGGUCUCAUAGAUGAACAGCGAGAUGGAUAGCAAGUGUUUGAGGGCUAGACAAUUAUGUGCAUAGUUCACAGACUUUAACAUGAUGAUUGAAUGGCAUAGGUGGUUCCUGUAACAGGUGAAAUGGUACCAGAUCUGAUUCUACCUCUGUUGUGAAUGUUACCUACGUAUGUAAAAACUCUGGAAAUCUGCUCAGAUUUGUAGAUGUGCACUACAUGGAGAAAAGAAAAACCUGUUUGCUUUCUGUUCCGCCUUUUGAGAUAAGAAAUCAGUCAAAAUCUGCUGCAAUUAGCAGGAACUAGUAGCACCAGUAGGAAAGAAAUCCUAAUUCAUUUUGGUUUCAUUGGCCCAGAAUUGAGGACCGCUGAUUUUACAACAGCCAUAAAUCCCCACACAUGAACACAGAUUGAGUUACAGUAAGCGUUGGCAAUAGCUCCCCCCUCGUUUGGAAAUGGCGGUGGCAUGAUAUCUCAGCCACGUUUGCCUCUUGUGUGGAAAUGUGAAAACCAGAUUGAGCCUUUUUAUGGGUUCCCUUUGAAAUCCGGCACACUUGACCCUCCCUCGGCUGUGAUUUUACUGCACGCUCUGGUUUAUUUCUGGAAACCUCCUACCCUCCUCAGCUUGUUUAAGACGCCUGCCUAAGUGUGCCUUUUGUUUACUUUGCCAGUUGGGACAAACAGUAAAGUGAAGUGAUUAAGCAUUUGCAUGAGGUCUUCCACAACCCAUGAAACCACAUGGAACAUUUUUGGGGAGGCUUGUCAGUCAGCGGUGGUUGGCGCUGGUGAAUAGUGCAAUCUUUAAGGGGUUUCAAUUACUAAUACUUGGCUUUAUAAUCCACUGGCAUUGCCAACACAUUUGGACUUUGUUUGAAUUUAGCAAAUGUGAAAAAUUAGAUCUGCUUAGCCGUGUAACAAUAUAUGAAAUGCAACAAAAUGCUACUCUAAAGAGGUCAGAUCAGAUAUUUGUGGUGGAACAGCAGAAGUUAAGCCAUUUGUCAACCCCUUAGAAAAUAGAUAAAGUAACGAGGCCACAUUGUACAUCUGAAACACAAAUGAUCAGUUUUCCAUAUUCACAUGAUGAAAAUGUGGGAGGGGGAGGAGGACAAAGGGGGAGAUAAAAGGGGGGAGAGUGGGAUGUGCGUGCGAGAGCUGGUGACUGACAUGUGGCAAAGGAGGCUCUGAUCCGUCUCUUGACGAACUUGUCGCCUCACCACGCUCCGUGUGUCAGGGCCUGGCACUCUCCCCUGUGUCAGGCGUGGGUGGCCUCCUGACGAGCGUUUGAAUGUGUGUGUCAUGUCCGUCUGGGCUGAAACCGCUCCUGAACACACACCCACGUAAUGACACUGACACAGUGCCAUCAGGCCUGCCAUCCAGCCCAGACAGACAGAGUCCAUGGCAAAACACAACCUUUAUCUCUCCGGUUAGGAUUUCUCAAUUUCCUCAGCCCUCCUGCUGCUUUCUCUUCCCCUCUCAGUCUUUUGCGUAUUGGUUGAAUAUGACCACAGCUAUUAUCUUGCAAUUUAGGCCUGAAUGAUUAUAUUUUAUGUAAUUAUGACCAAGAAAAACAGAAAAGAGGGCCUUGGGAACUUUUUGACUCGUCUGAAAAUGAGCCCUAUGCUGUAAAUUUUAAGUACCUCUGCAAAUGUCAGCGAGGGAAGUGCCAGCCGGUCCUACACAGGCGUCACUCAUGGACCCCACUCUGUAAUUGCCCUCUAGCUGGAACUGCUGUGUAAUUUUUGACGUGGCUCUGUGGCGGCACUGACAGCCUAAGGGACUGGAGAUUUAAUGCCCAGUCGGAACUUUCUCCCAAGCUUCUGUCUCUCGCAGUGAACCAUUUUUAAUCCUUUCUUGCAGUUCUGUGAGGCUGAUCUCAGGCAGCAUAGGUACCUGAAAAGAGGACAAUAUGGCAUGGAUUAAAAGCAGCUCUAGGGACAGUUGUAGAACAGGAUUCGACUCCGACAGGUACUCCACACACAAGAUGUUGUUAUCGCUGCAAAAGCACUACUAAAAUCUGAUUAAUUCACUGAGAGAUUGUGAGCGAUGUCAUUCAUAUGCACUGAGGAAGGCUGUGUGUCUCCACAUAACAGAUGUCGCUCCAUUUGCUGACACGCUGCAUAUUCAUCCCUGUGCAUUCCUGCAGGUGUGUUUGUGGGCGGUGAUCUCCCCGUGAUGCACCCACUCAGCAUAAAGAGUGGGAGGAGGAGGGAGACCGAGCUUUUAGGGACAAUAGCCCCCAUCUAGAUGCUCUCUGUGGGUGUGGGCAGGAGCAUUUAAAGGCCAUUCAGCCCCUGGCAAGACCCCCACAAAGACGCCCCCGCAUUCUGGGGAUGACUACCUGCCCAGGAGCUCUCUCUCUGCCCAUCUGUCCCCUCUAGAGUCCACAGAGCUCCUGGAGAGGCUGCAGGCUCACACACACACACACACACACACAAACCAAUGGCUGAUUGCUGACUCAGCUCCGCAUCAGGCUGACAGUGCAAAUAGAGCAAGGCAGGGGGUAAGGAGUGUGUGAGCUCCUCUCUGUGUGUGUAGGAGGGUAUGGGCGGAUGCGGUAUAUGUUGGAGAAUGAGUUGGUGUGUUUUUGUUUGUGUGUGUGUGUGGGAGUUGCUAGGUGGGUGAUUGGGCAUUCAUUAGUGUUGAUGGAUGUGUGUGUGUGGGUGUUUGUGUAAGUGGGUGAAUACAUAUGUAGGAGGUAGAGGGUGUGUGUGUGGGUUUGUGUGGAGGAGGAGUUCGUGGGUUUGCUGUGGGUGUUGUGUGGGUGGGUGGAUGGCCACGUGGGUGUAGCAUAAUGUUAUUCCAAUAAAUGAAUAUUUUGUACUUAUUGAUAAAUUUAAAUAUGUAAACAUUUUUUUGUGGUACCGUUUUAAUUUAUUUUUUAUUCACCAUCUUGACUCUUAAGUGAUAUAAAAGCGUGCAGCUUGUACCUGUAUUAAUGAAAGCAUGUCUUAUUAUACAUUAAAUGCUUGAUUUAA